rnacentral:rRNA from 1 species
UACGUAGGGUGCGAGCGUUGUCCGGAAUUACUGGGCGUAAAGAGCGCGUAGGCGGCGCGGUACGACCGCUGUGAAAGCCCCCAGCUCAACUGGGGAGGGUCAGCGGUAACGGCCGUGCUUUGAGUGCAGGAGAGGGAAGUGGAACUCCGGGAGUAGCGGUGAAAUGCGUAGAGACCCGGAGGAACACCAGUGGCGAAGGCGGCUUCCUGGUCUGCGACUGACGCUGUGGCGCGAAAGCUAGGGGAGCAAACGGG